rnacentral:rRNA from 1 species
UACAGAGGGGGCAAGCGUUGUUCGGAAUUACUGGGCGUAAAGGGCGCGUAGGCGGCCUGCUAAGUCGAACGUGAAAUCCCCGGGCUCAACUCCGGAUCUGCGGUGGGUACGGGCAGACUAGAGUGAUGUAGGGGAGACUGGAAUUCCUGGUGUAGCGGUGAGAUGCGCAGAUAUCAGGAGGAACACCGAUGGCGAAGGCAGGUCUCUGGGCCGAUACUGACGCUGAGGAGCGAAAGCGUGGGGAGCGAACAGG